rnacentral:lncRNA from 1 species
CACGCUCAAUUCUCUUCUUCUCACGUUUCAUCUUACCCUUCAUCCUACUCAAGUCCUUAUGCACGCCACUACUACCAUCACUAUAUGCUGCAAAAAACGACAAGCCAGUGGCUUAUCAGCAUUACAUAUACAUCGCAAACAUUACCACACAUCAAUUCAAAUCAGCAAGAAUAACAAAAAAAACAAAAACUCAGUAUGUAACACGUGAAUCAUGCGUAACAUCACACAUUUUUGGUCUAAUGAAGAGGAUAAUUUGGAUUAAAGGGUUGAAUCACCAUUUUUUUAUUUUAUGGAGGAACCAUAAGGCCUGAGUUAAAACUUCAUUAUUAAAGGCACAAACAUACAAACUGUGUUAAUAAGUCCUAUGAUCUAUACAAAUUCUAGCUUAUGAUCCAAAAACAUAAUUUUAUUACAAGAAAAAUCUUCAAAGUUGAAUAUGUAUAUCACUUGAUCACUAUCACCGCCUACACCCCAAGAAAUUACAAGACUAUAUUCUGAUAAACAUAAUGCAACCUGCAGAACUCAAAAAACCAGUCAACAGAAGUCACCAAAAAAAAGUCCUAAGACAACACCAUUUUAAAUUUUUAUGUCAUGAAAGAUCAGGCUCCCCAAGGCCAAUCACGAUCAAAAUGCAACACCUACAGCAAAAGACAAAAGUAAAGAGAAUUAAGGUUCUGCAUACAAUACACCAAAGGACAAACAAACUCAAAAUGGCAAUGAAAACCAAAAGUCAUUACUAGAACGGACUUCCUCAAACCACUUACUGCAUAACAUUACAUGAAAAAAGAUGAAACCUGACAUGAAAAAUCCUUCAGUUACAUAAACAAUUACCGUAGUAAAAGCCCCUCAAUGAAAACAACAGAGCCAUGAUGUGGAGGAGUGGAAAUUAUAAUAGAAAUUUUCCCACGACAAACAGCAUCACAAGGAUCAAACAAGCAAAUAUAUGAAGGAAAGGAAAUUACAAAUUAAUACAAAACCAUGGGACCACAUAACUUAUGAAAAAUGCUCACUCACUACAAACAAACACAAAGUUGCUCUUAACAAAAUCAGGAAUGAACAAUUGGUCCCCAUAAAAUAUUAUAUGAAAUCCCUCUCUAACGGAUUAUUUUUGCCCACACAAAAUGCGUACAUAAUACCAACACCUAAUGGUUCCCUCUAUAAAUAGAGAAUUCCAAUCAUUGAAAAAGGGGGAGAGGCUAUCUUUACCCUGUAGAAAUUCUUCCGCAAACCACACUAAAGCUUAAAAAUACUAAAGGUAGCUAAGAGCUCCUCAUUUAACCGAGAUAUAUACUGGACAGGUUGAAUCGAACACAAAAAGAGAAGUUGAAGGAGAAAAUCGAUUGGACAAGGCGAAAGAAAGAUUGAACGUUUACCUGAAAACAGACCAUGUCUGUAAAUUUCGAUCUACAUUUUCUCAUCCUUGUAUUUCAAAAUGUUAGAAUUGGACCGUCUGACUAUAUUCUUGUUGUAUUUUCUUCUUUCUGGCGGACUCUUGUUUUAUGAAUAUGUGCAAAAGGAACUUUGACUUUUUUUCUUCCAUGGAAAUCUGUUGUGUGAUGCUCCCUGUUUUCUGCAUCAAAUUCCAAAUACCAUUUUGUUGUUUUUCUAAGGGUAAACUGUAUUUCUAGGUUUGAAAGAGUUAAGUUUGAGAUUCGGAUCUGAAUAAACGGGUAACAAUGUAGAAAGAGAUAGAUGUGGAUCCAUAUUUAAAAAGGUGAUUGGGUUUGUGUUGGGUGUAAGGAGGUCAGAGGCAUUCGAGCGCCAGAGAAAGUGGUGGCGCCUCCUCCGACCGCCAUCCUUCUCCAGCCAUUUUGAUCGAAGACAUUAGAGAGAGAUCUGAGGUUUUAUUUUGUUUGAAAAUAUUGGAGAGAGAGAAAGGAAAUCGGAGAAGAGAGAAAGGGUGAGUUCAUUUUUGUUCAGAGAGAAUCGGUUGUCUAGGAGGGGGGAUUAUCAUAUGUUUUAAUGUUCAAAAUAAA